rnacentral:lncRNA from 1 species
GAAAUAGAAUAUCAGUUUUAGAAUGAGAGAGACAGUUCAAAUGUAACGGUUUUAGAGUGAGAGAGACUCAGUUCAAACGUAACGGUUUUAGAAUGAGAGAGACUCAGUUCAAAUGUAACUCUUUGACUUACCCGCCAGAGGAGAGCUUUGGCUCCAUCAUUUGUAAAUGUGGCAAAUGCUAUUUCCAUCAUGAGAUCGCUGGAAGGGUCGAUGGAGAACAUGUAUUAAAAUGCCUAGCAUAAGUAGACAAUCAGUAAUUCUUCAUUUCUUAUUCUGAGACUCUUAUUUCUUUUACUGUACCAUGAUAACUUUACCUGGGCUGGAGAAUUUUAAAUAGUUGGGAAGUGCUUCUAUAAAGAAGGUUGAGGAGAAAAGAAAAGAGCAUCUAUUUAAAGGUUUGAUAACACACUUGGUUGUUCUCAGAGACUUUCUGUUCUAGAGAAGAGGGCUGGUCAGCGAUCAUUUCCUUCCAAUUAUCAUUUCACGUCAUUUCUUCAAGUUACGUUGCACCCACGAAUAAAGUUUGUGUGCUUAAUGUGCCAGAUCUGGUCACGUUGAUGCCACUGUGUACAAGACAUAAUCAAGAAGUUAAUAAAGCAACGAUGGAGUCUUUGGCAAGCGUGGUGCUGAAUCUCAGAAACAAAAGUCAAAAUCCCAUCGCAUCAUCACACUUUUCCCAGCAAAAGGACUCAAAAAAAUGAGAGAUCGUUAUGUUCUGCGGAAUGGAAGGAGAUUGUCUUCCCUCUUGUGAGAAUGCACACAACAUAGUCUGUUAAGAAGGAUGUUACAAAUGUCCCUGCUUCAUCUUCCUGGCCCCUUGUACAAAGCUUGGACUCUCCCAGUUCAAACUUGUUGGUCAGUAGGCAAGCCAAGGAAGGGAAGAGAGAGAAGGCAGAAAAGUGGGAAGAGGAGUGGAGUGUUCCCUUCUAAGAGGCUGACGCUGCAGCAUGAGCAGCAGAAAUGCAGCAGACUGGGGCUCCUCGGAGCCUCCAGCAGAAACCAAGGAGAGACUGUGAGGCAAUCUGUGUGCCUGCUCUGUCCUACCUGGCCGGGACUGUGUUCUAGACUCAUGGGGUCCUCCUUGGUCCACCGAUUCGAUUAUCUGUCAUGAAUCCUUACAUUAGGAGUUGAAUGUCAGUUCCAACGCAGAGCCCAGGAGGUUGUUACCCACCCAGGGUCGGGCAGGGGUUCCAGGUUUAGGACCCUCUCGACAUGAAGCCUCGAGAGUGGUCCACAGUCAAGGGGGCUAAUUUCCUGACAGAUCAUCGUAAACACUUUUCCAUAUCUUCUUGUUCUGUAGUUACGGUCUCCAUGGAACUAUCUAGUGAGUGCCUGUUUCUGUUGUCAUAAAAAAAUAUAAUUUGCAAUCCGCUUGGGAUCCCUUCCAAGUUAGGUAUUCCUUUGAUUAUUACUGAAAUUGGUCACCCUUGAAAUAAUAUGGAGAAAGCAGCGGUGGUUGGAAAGCGUGUUUCCUAUCUCUAAGCUGAAUCGCUUAUUUGUCUUCCCCUAAUUACCACGGGAACUGUCCGUUCCUGGUCUCUGGGGGCUCUCUGGUUCACGGGGUUAAAUAACAUUUUUUUAAGAGCUUUUAUUGGCUUCCCUUUUUCCUUCUUUUUUUAUUUUGACAGGGCGUAAAAUGAAUUUGCUAAUUAGUUUUCUCUUCCUGAGCUGCAUUAUCUUAUUGCUUUAAUCUGUCUCCAACGAGACAACCAGAUUUGUCAAGCCCACGCUGCUUCUAAAGACCCAGUAUUCAGAAACCUU